UGGGGAAUUUUGGACAAUGGGCGAAAGCCUGAUCCAGCAAUGCCGCGUGUGUGAAGAAGGCCUUCGGGUUGUAAAGCACUUUUGUCCGGAAAGAAAUCCUUGGCUCUAAUACAGUCGGGGGAUGACGGUACCGGAAGAAUAAGCACCGGCUAACCACGUGCCAGCAGCCGCGGUAAUACGUAGGGUGCAAGCGUUAAUCGGAAUUACUGGGCGUAAAGCGUGCGCAGGCGGUUUGCUAAGACCGAUGUGAAAUCCCCGGGCUCAACCUGGGAACUGCAUUGGUGACUGGCAGGCUAGAGUAUGGCAGAGGGGGGUAGAAUUCCACGUGUAGCAGUGAAAUGCGUAGAGAUGUGGAGGAAUACCGAUGGCGAAGGCAGCCCCCUGGGCCAAUACUGACGCUCAUGCACGAAAGCGUGGGGAGCAAACAGGAUUAGAUACCCUGGUAGUCCACGCCCUAAACGAUGUCAACUAGUUGUUGGGGAUUCAUUUCCUUAGUAACGUAGCUAACGCGUGAAGUUGACCGCCUGGGGAGUACGGUCGCAAGAUUAAAACUUAAAGGAAUUGACGGGGUCAUAGCUGUUUCCU
rnacentral:rRNA from 1 species